rnacentral:sRNA from 1 species
AGUGCUGGGAUGACUAUGGAGACCCAAAUGUCUCAGAAUGUAUGUCCCAGAAACCUGUGGCUGCUUCAAUCAUUGACAGUUUUGCUGCUGCUGGCUUCUGCAGACAGUCAAGCUGGUGAGUAUGCCUUUGCUUCCUUGUAUUGACAGUGUUGUAUCCUCAUAAUAUGAUGCUGUGUUUGCUGGGGGGGAUAUGUCUAUUCCACUGAAAAUCAAGCUUGGGUUCAGCAUGGGCAGUACCCCCAUUUUAGUGGGGUCUGGGAUUUGCUUCUUAGAUCCACUGAAGACCCAAGGGAAUGAGGCUGCUGCAAGUACAGAUCUUGAACUACAUCUACAAUAGGACUCUUUGGUGCCUGACCUCCCUUGGGAGCUCCUUUGGCAUCCACAGUCCCUUCAGGGUUAUUUAUUCCACACCCCUUUCCACUCUCUGCCCCUCAGCAGCUCCCCCAAAGGCUGUGCUGAAACUCGAGCCCCCGUGGAUCAACGUGCUCCAGGACGACUCUGUGACUCUGACAUGCCGGGGGGCUCACAGCCCUGAGAGCGACUCCACUCAG